rnacentral:rRNA from 1 species
CAGUAGCCGCGGGAAAACGUAGGUGGCAAGCGUUGUCCGGAAUUAUUGGGCAUAAAGGGCUCGCAGGCGGUUUCUUAAGUCUGAUGUGAAAGCCCCCGGCUCAACCGGGGAGGGUCAUCGGAAACUGGGAAGCUUGAGUGCAGAAGAGGAGAGUGGAAUUCCACGUGUAGCGGUGAAAAGCGUAGAGAUGUGGAGGAACACCAGUGGCGAAGGCGACUCUCUGGUCUGUAACUGACGCUGAGGAGUGAAAGCGUGGGGAGCGAACAGGAUUAGAUACCCCAGUAGUCCCUGUCUCUUAUAC